rnacentral:tRNA from 1 species
ACUUUUAUAGGAUAACAGUAAUCCGUUGGUCUUAGGAACCAAAGACUUGGUGCAAAUCCAAAUAAAAGUA